rnacentral:rRNA from 1 species
AGUGAACGCUGGCGGUAGGCCUAACACAUGCAAGUCGAACGGCAGCACAGGAGAGCUUGCUCUCUGGGUGGCGAGUGGCGGACGGGUGAGGAAUACAUCGGAAUCUACUCUGUCGUGGGGGAUAACGUAGGGAAACUUACGCUAAUACCGCAUACGACCUACGGGUGAAAGCAGGGGAUCUUCGGACCUCGCGCGAUUGAAUGAGCCGAUGUCGGAUUAGCUAGUUGGCGGGGUAAAGGCCCACCAAGGCGACGAUCCGUAGCUGGUCUGAGAGGAUGAUCAGCCACACUGGAACUGAGACACCGUCCAGACUCCUACGGGAGGCAGCAGUGGGGAAUAUUGGACAAUGGGCGCAAGCCUGAUCCAGCCAUACCGCGUGGGUGAAGAAGGCCUUCGGGUUGUAAAGCCCUUUUGUUGGGAAAGAAAUCCAGCUGGCUAAUACCCGGUUGGGAUGACGGUACCCAAAGAAUAAGCACCGGCUAACUUCGUGCCAGCAGCCGCAGUAA